rnacentral:rRNA from 1 species
GACGAACGCUGGCGGCGUGCUUAACACAUGCAAGUCGAACGGAAAGGCCCUGCUUUUGUGGGGUGCUCGAGUGGCGAACGGGUGAGUAACACGUGAGUAACCUGCCCUUGACUUUGGGAUAACUUCAGGAGACUGGGGCUAAUACCGGAUAGGAGCUCCUGCUGCAUGGUGGGGGUUGGAAAGUUUCGGCGGUUGGGGAUGGACUCGCGGCUUAUCAGCUUGUUGGUGGGGUAGUGGCUUACCAAGGCUUUGACGGGUAGCCGGCCUGAGAGGGUGACCGGCCACAUUGGGACUGAGAUACGGCCCAGACUCCUACGGGAGGCAGCAGUGGGGAAUAUUGCACAAUGGGCGGAAGCCUGAUGCAGCAACGCCGCGUGCGGGAUGACGGCCUUCAGGUUGUAAACCGCUUUCGCCUGUGACGAAGCGUGAGUGACGGUAAUGGGUAAAGAAGCACCGGCUAACUACGUG